rnacentral:rRNA from 1 species
UUCUUAUAAUCUUAUUAUAAGUAAAAUCUGCUCAAUGAUAUUUAAAUAGCCGCAGAAUCUUAACUGUGCUAAGGUAGCAUAAUCAUUUACCUUUUAAUUGAAGGUUUGUAUGAAAGAUUUUACAUUUAAAUUAUUUUUUUAUUAAAUUAUCUUAAAAUUUUAUUAAAAAUAAAAAUAUUUUUAUACAUUAAAAAGACGACAAGACCCUAUUGAACUUUACUUAAGUUAAGCUGGGGAAGCUAAUUAAAUACUAUUUUAAUAUUCUAAUUUAAAUAGAUUUCUGGAUACCCAAUUCGAAUAAGUUACCAUAGGGAUAACAGCGUAAUCAUUUUUUAAAGCUCUUAUUAAAAAAAAAGUUUACGACCUCGAUGUUGAAUUAAAUUUACUUUAAAACGCAAUAGUAUUAAAAGUGGGCCUGUUCGACCUUUAAAUUUUUACAU